rnacentral:lncRNA from 1 species
GUGGAAGUGGCAGUUAGCUGCUAUCAAUCCUGAGACAGCCUGAGGAAAAGGUCUGAUCAAGACUUUCUCCUGAGAAAAGUCUUACACCUUUCUCCUGGUGACUGUACAACUUAUCUCCUCCCCCCCCCCCAAUUCCCAGCUGAAGUGACGAGCUUGAGAAGACACAAAGCAGCUGACAAGAUCACCUCACAGUUCCUGGUAUUCUAGUUCUGGGUACUUCUCUCCUUUGGAAAAUUACGGUCAUGCCACAUUUAUCCCUACAAGUGACCAAGUUCCUAGAAGAAUAUCUUCUGCACACAAUUUGCCUCCUAAAUAUUUACUGAAUAGCUAGAAUCAAAUGGCAAGUAUUCUGCUGGUUUUGAAUGAGAAUGGAAAAGAAUGGAAGCAAGGAAGAUUGGAAAGGAUCUUCUCUGCUAUUUUAAGAGAAAAUAUACUACCUAAUGUAUGGAGAACAAGAAAGAAGCCUUCUAAUCCCUUCUUCCAUUCCGGGUGAUAAUCCAAAAGAGGAAGAUAAUAAAGGAUAUGGCACUUUCAUUUAUGCAAAGAUUUUUCUCUUAAUUCUGAAAUAUCCAUGCAACCUUGCAAUGAAGAAGAAAAAGUUACAAAAGAAUAGUCCAAGGAACCUAAUAAACACAUUAUUCAAUUAAUCACUCAACAAAUAUCAUUGUGUGCAUUUUGUGUCAGAUACUGUGCUAGGUGUUAAGAGGG